rnacentral:rRNA from 1 species
UGCAAGUCGAACGGGACUGGGGGCAACUCCGUUCAGUGGCGGACGGGUGCGUAACACGUGAGGAACAUGACUUUCGGCGGGGGAUAGCCGGCCCAACGGCCGGGUAAUACCGCGUACGACCUUUCGGGGACAUCCCCGGUUGGUGAAAGCAGCAAUGCACCGAAAGAGUGCCUCGCGGCCUAUCAGCUAGUUGGUGRGGUAACGGCUCACCAAGGCGACGACGGGUAGCUGGUCUGAGAGGAUGGCCAGCCACAUUGGGACUGAGACACGGCCCAGACUCCUACGGGAGGCAGCAGUGGGGAAUAUUGCGCAAUGGGCGAAAGCCUGACGCAGCGACGCCGCGUGUGGGAUGACGGCCUUCGGGUUGUAAACCACUGUCGGGAGGGACGAAUGCGCCGCAAGGCGAGUGACGGUACCUCCAAAGGAAGCACCGGCUAACUCCGUGCCAGCAGCCGCGGUAAUACGGAGGGUGCGAGCGUUGUCCGGAAUCACUGGGCGUAAAGGGCGCGUAGGCGGCCUGAUAAGUAGGGGGUGAAAUCCUGAGGCUUAACCUCAGGGCUGCCUUCUAAACUGUCAGGCUCGAGCACAGUAGAGGCAGGUGGAAUUCCCGGUGUAGCGGUGGAAUGCGUAGAGAUCGGGAAGAACAUCAGUGGCGAAGGCGGCCUGCUGGGCUGUUGCUGACGCUGAGGCGCGACAGCGUG